CUGCAGCCACUUGGGGAACUGGU
rnacentral:miRNA from 1 species